rnacentral:rRNA from 1 species
AUUGAACGCUGGCGGCAGGCCUAACACAUGCAAGUCGAGCGGGAACUUCGGUUCUAGCGGCGGACGGGUGAGUAAUGCGUAGGAAGCUACCCGACAGAGGGGGAUACCAGUUGGAAACGACUGUUAAUACCGCAUAAUGUCUACGGACCAAAGUGUGGGACCUUCGGGCCACAUGCUGUCGGAUGCGCCUACGUGGGAUUAGCUAGUUGGUGAGGUAAUGGCUCACCAAGGCGACGAUCCCUAGCUGGUUUGAGAGGAUGAUCAGCCACACUGGAAAUGAGACACGGUCCAGACGACUGCGGGAGGCAGCAGUGGGGAAUAUUGGACAAUGGGCGCAAGCCUGAUCCAGCCAUGCCGCGUGGGUGAAGAAGGCCUUCGGGUUGUAAAGCACUUUCAGUAGGGAGGAAGAGAUGAGUGUUAAUAGUACUCAGCUUUGACGUUACCUACAGAAGAAGCACCGGCUAACUCUGUGCCAGCCGCCGCCGUAAUAC